ACGUGAAUCAUCUACCUUCGAGUGGGGAAUAACUGAGAGAAAUCUUAGCUAAUACCGCAUAAUACCUACGGGUCAAAGCAGCAAUGCGCUUGAAGAGGAGUUCGCGGCAGAUUAGUUAGUUGGCGGGGUAAUGGCCCACCAAGACGAUGAUCUGUAUCCGGCCUGAGAGGGCGCACGGACACACUGGAACUGAAACACGGUCCAGACUCCUACGGGAGGCAGCAGUGGGGAAUUUUGCGCAAUGGGGGAAACCCUGACGCAGCAACGCCGCGUGGAGGAUGAAAUCCCUUGGGAUGUAAA
rnacentral:rRNA from 1 species